rnacentral:rRNA from 1 species
AACGCGUAUCCAACUUCCCACUGAGUAGUGCAUAGCCCGGCGAAAGUCGGAUUAAUUCACUAUAUGUGGUCAUUUCGGUCAUCUUUAUGUCACGAAAGAUUCAUCGCUCAUGGAUGGGGAUGCGUCUGAUUAGGCAGUCGGCGGGUAACGGCCCACCGAGCCAUCGAUCAGUCGGGGUUCUGAGAGGAAGGUCCCCCACACUGGUACUGAGACACGGACCAGACUCCUACGGGAGGCAGCAGUGAGGAAUAUUGGUCAAUGGGCGCAAGCCUGAACCAGCCAAGUAGCGUGCAGGACGACUGCCCUAUGGGUUGUAAACUGUCUUUUGUACGGGGGUAAAGUGUGUCACUUGUGGCAUAUUGCAAGUACCGUACGAAUAAUGACCGGCUAAUUCCGUGCC